AAAGAGAACAGAGCCUAAAAAUUUAAAUUUGAUGAAAAGAAUAACUCUCUUAUAAGUUAGGGAUGGUGGACAACAAUUCUCUGUCUCAAUUGUUUGAAUUUUGGUUAGAACAAUUUGUGGGUUCCAAAUAUUUAAGAUGAAAAUGUUAUUAUUAUUUUUUUGCACCAAACAUGCUAUAGUACAAGUUAUUUUCCUAAAUAGCAAGUCAAGAUUUAAUUUAUAAAAUGUAAGUCCUGUACAGAAAGUUUUUAUGUUGCCAUCCGUGGGUAGAAGCUUAUCUGAUAUUUGUAAAUAGUAACGUUGAAAAUUAUAUUGGGCGACAUUGAGAAGUUCUGUUUCACUUUAAAGCACAAUCUAAUUUGCCCCAUGUUUAUAAAUUAUCUGUAAUUACUCAAAUCAUUUUUUUUUUUUUUUUUAACACAAUACCUUUUGAUACUUGUAAAAGGCGUAGCAGUUAAACUAUAGACUCGAACUCUAGUCGAAUUUUUAGAACACCACACAAAACUGUUACGCAUUUAUUCCAUCACUUAUUUCUAUCUUUUAUGAUUUAAAAGGUUUAUAUCAAUUCACAAACAUAAACAUAUCGUGAUUUUAACGAAGUAGUAUUUCUGCUUUAUUUAAUUCACAAGAAAACCUAUAUAUAUAUAUAUAUNNNNNNNNNNNNNNNNNNNNNNNNNNNNNNNNNNNNNNNNNNNNNNNNNNNNNNNNNNNNNNNNNNNNNNNNNNNNNNNNNNNNNNNNNNNNNNNNNNNNNNNNNNNNNNNNNNNCCUUCAAGAUAUCACUCGAGGUAUUUUACUAAGUAAAUGGGCAUUUGGUCUAAUAAAUAACUUUUUAUUGAUUUGAGUUAGAAAUAAAUAGCUUAUUUAUUUUUUACACUAUCUAAUUGAAAGUAGAUAAGAAAUUUCGAAUAUUCAAAUAUGUUUGAAAUUAAUAAUUUAUCUAUCUUACGUAUGAACACAGCAUCUGCUAGUGACAGUCUAAGCUCACCACAAAUAUUGAAAGACUUCAAUUGAUCACACAAAUUUAAAAGAUGAUGGUGACAGGCCGAAUGUAUCUUUAGGAAGACAUUGGUGAUUGUGUUCUUGUCAAAAUACGUGUCCAAUUGAAGAAUAUAAAAAUAGUUCUCUUAAUGAUAGAUAAUAAAGAUAUCAGUUUUGCUACAAUUAUAUUUUGGUCGAUAGUUUUGUUUACAUUUCAUGAUGUGACACAUAGUUUCGUCAUUGACUUGAACAAUACUUACAAUAAUCGAUGACCUAGAUUAUUACACAUCAUGAGAUGUCAAUUAAGAUGUACAAAUAGAAUGUAUAAGUAGCUUAUUCGAGGAUAGAAUGUAUAAGUAGCUUAUUCGAGGCAUUGUUUUUUCUAUUUGUGCACAAGUAAAUUUAUGUAGGGGUUUGGUUCCAUCUAAAUGAAAAUAGAUGGCUCCAACAUUUAUGGGGUUUUUCUGCUGAUAUUUUUUUAUUGACAUGAUUAGGAUUAAACUCUAAUCUAGAUUACUUAUUGGUGCUGGGAUGACAUAUAUUCCUAGUCUAGUUUUUUGGGUAUCUCCUUGUGAUUUUGUACUUUCACAAAUUAAAUAUAAUACACUUUCCUUAUCAAAAAACUCUCAAUUUUGGUAGUGUUUUCUCUCUUUUAAGAAUUUUGAGCGUGUUUCGAAGUGAAUUUUUUGUAUGGGGAGAGAGAUUGAGACAUUGGCAGUCAAAAAUUGUUUUUUGAUUCAAGCUGUAUUUUCAAUUUUUGAGAGAUUUGACUUCAAAUACUUCCUGAAUUCACCUUGUUUUUCGAUACUAGUUCCUCAUGAAAUCCAGUGACGAAUUUAGGAUAGGACGAAUAUGUAAAGAAAACACUUAAAAAAAAAUUUACUUGCAAAAAUUCCUUUUUACACACAAAAUUCGUAAAUGGGUUGGAACUGAAGUCCAACCUUGUCCAGUUCCUUUCAAUUCGCCAGUGGGAUGCUUAACAUGUGCAACUUGUACGGGAAGUAGUGUUUCACUCAAGGACAUGCUCUUUGGGAGGAGAACUUAAAAUAGCAUAUCCAGCACCUGUUUUCCAGGGUGACCAAAGGACUUGUGCCAAUUUGAAGGGUUAGAUGUAGAACUUUAUAAAGCAGCAAGUAUUGAAGACUCCUACAAGAGAUGAAUUGGAUAGAAAGAGUCGUCGUGUCAUCCACUUCUUUUAUUAUAUGUUCUAAACACCGGUGACAUGAUUGAUAGAUAAUUUUAUGAUAGAUCUCAAUUAUCUUUAUUUGACUUCUUGUAGAAGAGGUUUUAGAAUAAAUUAUUUUAAUUAGUGUUUUUAAAUUAAUUUUUACUUUUGAAAGAAAGUUUCUCUAAAAGUUUUUCUAACUUCUUACUAGAAGAAGUAGAAAUUACACCCACACCUAUUUUUCAACUUUUCAUUUCAACAAUUGGGUACAAGGUAUUUUCUUUCAAAAAUCAGGUAAACCCUACCCCAAUGCACCUGCCCUAAACAUUUCUACCCAAAACAAACUCACUCCUCCUUUGACUGCUGCUUCAUUCUUCUCUUUUACCUACUAUUUCCAUCUCCGCUCGCCGCGCACCCAUAGCUAUGAAUGGCGUUGCUUAGAGCAUAGUGACUACUUGUUGUCAUUCUUCUUCUCCGGUUGUACUUUCACCUCUUCGCUUGUCAUGAAACGCACAUCAGUGAUGGGCAUUGCUGCAGUCAUUGCUGCAAAGGCGACGAUAUAUGUGCGAUGGGUUUUUCUCUCCAUGUUCUUGCCUCAAAUUUCAUUUUUGUUCCUUUCCUUCCGAUUUUAGUUGUCGUAUGUGCAGUGAUCGUGUGGCGAUGUAACAUUAUAAUAUACUACGAAGAAUGGAGGAAUAAUUGUAAAAGAGACAUGGAAUCAUAGGAUAGUGCAUCAUUAAAUUUUUUAAGUCAAUUAUUUUCAUAUAUUCAAACAGACAUUCUUUAUAAUAAUAAUAAUAAUAAUAAUAAUAAUAAUAAUAACAAUAACAAUAACAAUAACAAUAACAAUAACAACAACAACAACAACAAUAACAACAAAAACGUUAAUUUAAAUUUUUAUCAAAACAUCAAUAAUAAUAAGUGUAGGGGCUCAAAGUCGUGCACAAACACUUUCGGCUUCUCCUAGCCACACUCGAUGGUUGGUUGGCACAAACAUGCUCACGUCCCAACAUUUUGGCCUAAUAGCCGUGCUAGGCCAUUCAAAAGUAGCUUGAUCCAACCCGCUUUUCAUUUCUAAUCCAAAAGAGAGCAGUUAUUAUCAUCUACUAUUGUUAACAACAACAUGUGGAAAUUGGGUCAAAUAACCUCUCACAUAAUAUACUUUGCAAAUUUAGCCCUUGACUAGAAUAAAAAUAUUAAACUAAAUCAUUUAAAUUAAAAUUAACAAACUACCUGAAUUGCCCUUAUUCCAACCAAAGAAAUUUCCCCUUUUCAUUUUCCUUUCCCAAAUCCAUCUUCUCUCUGGAACGUAGAAACAUUCGAAACCUAAAUCCAUCUCUUCCCUUACAUACUUCACCAACAUUUCUUUUCGAAUUAAAAUUCAAACCGAAACAUCAUUUCCCUGGAAGAAAAGAAAAUCUGUCAAAACUAAAUCCCUACAGAUUUUUCGGAAUCUUUGCAUUCAACUUGUAAGAAACAAAGGCAUUGUAGCUUGAAGGAGAUCUCCAUUCAGGACCCUAAAAUGGUGUGCUCGUAAGGGAUCAAUUUGUGAGAGUUCAUUAAUACUGGUUGGAAGCGUUGCUCAUUUGUAUUUAUCAAUCUCCAAGAAUGGUAAAGAUCAAAUAUUCAUACUUGAUUUAUUUAUCUGUUUAUACUUUGCUCUCUUGCUGAAGAUUUAUUGGAGAAAGAAAAAAAGUUAUAACUCAUUGGGAGUUGUGAUUUUUGCAAUAUUGGGUUGUUGGGCAAUUUUGUAUCUGAGUAACCAUUUAUAUGGAAGCAGCUACUAUAUUUCUAAAUUUAUAUGGAGGGCUUGGAGUUAUUCCAUGUCUCUUUGUUAUAAUGAUUUAUUUCCUAGGUAAUUUUUAGUGCAAUUUCUCAAUACACAAUGUCAACAGAACGAGGUGAUUUUGGACUCUUUAAUUGAAAUGUCGAUUCAUAAUAUUCUAAAAAUGUCAUUUUUAAUGUAUGAAUGACCCAAUAAGGUGUUAAUAAACUCUGUGACUCGAGUCUUGUUGUAUUAAAUAAGAAUUCCUAUAUUCUGUGCAAAUAAAAUUUUUAGCUAGUAGCAAUUUCUAAAGCCUUUUCUUACUGAUAUGAUUUGUAUAGUUACGCUUCACCAUCAUUUCUUCCCUUUCAAAUGCCUAUUCUUCUAUAUCUUCUUCCUCUAAAUGAGGUUAGCUGUAAUUAUUCUUCCAUUUGAAAAGCUACCACCAUCUCGAGCACAGCUUCACCAUGAACAAGUUCCAAUGCGAACAACCAACGUGAACAGCUCAUUCAAGGAACCAAUUUCUAAGUUGUCUAACCUCAGGCAUGAAAGUGUCAUCAAUUUUCCAUUGUUGAAAGAUUUUGUGUGAAUUUUGUGAAAAAUGUUGGCUUCUCAACACGUUAAUAUUUUGUUAUUGUAUCCCAUUUAGUUGUUUUUUUUCUUGAAAGUAAGUCUCUUGUAUCUUAACCAUCUUUCUAAUCCAUUCAUGUUGGUUUUUUGGUAUCAUUGACACCCCUCGAUCAAUGGUUAAAUUUGGGAAGUUUGUUGCUCUUUGAUUCUUUCUUUUUUACUUUUUGUAUGCACUAAUGGUUUUUAUUGGGUAUACGAGUGUUAGAUAUAAUUUUAAACAAGAACAGGUAGUAAGGAUUUAUAAGACUAGCGGUUGAAUUGGGUAUGCAUUCAUUUAUGUGGGUUUGUCUAUUUUUUUUCUCAUUCAAUUAGUUAUGCAUUAAAGAAGUAAUUAUUUAAUGAAAAACAAGUUUCCUGGAUUUUAUUGAAGUAAUUGAUAUGUAUGUUGAAGGAGAUUGAACGUCUUUUCACCCUCACAUUCUCCACCCUGAAUUUUUUUAAGGUUUUUUGGUUAGCCAAAACUAUGAAUGAAUCAAUACAAUUUUAACCGUAGUAGGAAUAAAGAAUUUUUAAUAGUGAACAACUUGUAGAGGAUCUAUAUAUAAUGUAUGGGUUUAGAAUGAUUCCACCAAAACAGAGAACAAUUGUAGAAAUUCUACGUGUGUUAACGAUGCCUGUAACUCCCCAAGUUAAAGGGUAAGUUCUGUAAAAGUAUUAUUGGGCAAAUGAUUCUUUAUCAUAGGUUUUCGAGUUAAGAACUAGUGACUUAUGCAAUAGCUUAUAAGUAAAGAUAGUACUAAUUAGGUAAAAGUUAGGGGAAUGGUGACUUAGGUCGUUAAGGCACGUGUUAGACCCAAAGCUGCUUAUGUUUUGUUAAUCUUAGCCAAUACCUCUUUGUUUUACUUUAACAUUCAAUUACUUCAGAAUUGCAAAAAAAUGCAUGAUCGAAUAUUAUAUUGGGAUAUUUUUGGCAGAAUUUAUAAUCCUUGUGGAUUUGGAUAGUGAUUUCAUUCUUGCCAUUUUCAUUAAAGGAUCUUGUGAAUUGUCGUCUAUUAGUUUUUCUCAUCAUAACUCAUUUUCAUUUGAAUUGGAUGUAACUAAAUUAGGCCGUCUUUCUUGAACACAUAUUGUUAAAUUAUUUAUAUCAUUUACAUCUUUUCAUUGAUUAAUUAACAUGAUCAUUUUAUGAUUUUUUUUAUGGUAGAAAUGGAUCACCCAUUUGAGAAUGUGAUUAUCGUUGAAGAUAGAAUUAAAAAGAGACCUUCACAGAAGUGUUCCCUUCCAAAAACUUGACUACAUUCGGGAGAUGUUAGAUAACGUUCAUAGAUAAGUGGUACAUGCCAUUUUGGGCGACAUUCUCGAUUUCACUCUGAAAUUAACAUAAUUGUUUUCAUUGUAUUUUUUCAAUUUUAUGUGAUCGAAGGAUAUAGGACUUAGAUGCUAAUUUUGUCUAGAUAGAAGUGUUUUGUAUGAUUUAGUUGGAAAUAAGUGCAUGAAUGCUAAUUUUGUAACGGAUGCUAACUAGUGCAACUAUAAAAUUUUGCAAUGUUUUGCAUUGUAGGAAUGUUUUAUUCAAAUAUUGAAGUAGUCAGGGUUGAAACAUAGUUGUAGUUAUAUGAUAGCUUGAUAAUUUAUAAAUGGAAAAAUAGAUUGUAUUAUUAACUACGCAAAUUUAACCAAUCUAGAAAACGACAGUCAUACAUUUAAAAUGACAACAUGCUGUUUUGUGUCCUCAGUCUCACUAAAAAAUAAAAAUUGGAAUGACAACAUGUGGUUUUGGGUAACAGGAUCUCAACUUCACUUGAUCAUAUUGAACGAUUACACGUGUUAUAUUUUUGUAUACUCUACCCCCUAAAUGGGACCCUUACGUGUAAAAUAAUAGCAUGCCGUUUUGCGUCAAGAGAUCUCAAAUUCACUCCAAAACUAGUAAAAUAGUAUUUUGAACAUAUAAGACUUGUACAUUUUGAACAAUUACAUGUUUUUCUGUUUUCUAAACCUUAUACCCUAAAACCUAAACCCUAUACCUUAAAAACUAAACCCUGAACGGCAACCUUCCAUUUAAAAUGAUCGGAUGCCAUUUAGCAUCACGGGCUAUUGAUUUCACUUCAAAAUUAAUAAAAUAGUAUUUCGAACAUCAUAUAUGAAUUGUACAUAUUGAAUAAUUACACGUUUUUCUAUUUUGUAAAUUCUAUACCCUAAAACAUAAACCAUAUACCCUAAAACCUAAACCCUAAAUGGCAAUCCUUUGUUUAAAACGAUCAGAUGCUGUUUUGGGUCACGGGAUAUCAAUUUCACUCCGAAACUAGUGAAACAUGCUUUGAAAUAUCAUACAUGUCUCGUACACACUAAAUGACUACACAUACUAUGAUUUGGAUGCGAUACUUCCUACUUACGUUUUUCUUUUUUGUCAAGUAAAGUGUAGUUUUCUAGCAAAUUAUGAAGUGACUCACCAUAAUUUGAACAAAUAUGUUGACCACAAUGUCAAAAUGCAGUUAAAACUUUCAUCUCUAUACUUUUACAUGGUUUCGAGUGUGAAUGAACUAAAAUGAACACUAAAUGAGUAGAAAUGUUAGUCAUACGUUUAAACAACCAAAUACGGUUUGGGGUCAUGAGAUAUCGAUUUCAUUUCGAAACUAGUAAAAUAUGCUUUGAAACAUCAUACAUUGAAAGACUACACAUGCUAUGUUUUGGAUACCAUAAUUCUUAAUUAAGUUUUCUUUGUUGUCGAGUAUAGUGUAGUUUCCUACCAGAUUAUGGAGUGACUCACUAUAAUUUGAACAAAUGUGUCGACCACAAUAUCAAAAUGUAGUUAAAAUUUUCAUCCCUAGACUUUUACGUGGUUACGAUGCGUGAAUGAACCGAAACGAAUGCUAAAUGAGUGAAAAUGUCAGUCAAUACAUUUAAAAUGACCAAAUGCCGUUUCGGGUCACAGGAUACCAAUUUCACUAAAAAAACUAGUAAAACAUGCUCUGAAACAUCAUACAUGACUCUCACAUAUUGAACGACUACAUGUGCUAUGUUUUGGAUACCAUAAUUGCUACUUACGUUUUUCUUUUGUUGUCAACUGUAGUGUAGUUUCCUACCGGAUUAUGAAGUGACUCACUAUAACUUGAACAUAUGUGUCGACUGCAACGUCGAAAUGUAGCUAGAACUUUCAUCCCUAAACUUUCACGUGGUUACAAAUGUGAAUGAAUCGAAAUGAACAUUAAAUGAGUAGAAACGUCAUCCACGUGUUUAAAACGAUCAGAUGCCAUUUUGGGUCACGUGGUAGGAUUUCACUUCGAAACUAGUAAAACAUGUUUUGAAACAUCAUACAUGGCUCGUACACAUUGAACAAUUACACAUGCUAUGUUUUGGAUACAAUACUUGCUACUUACGUUUUUCUUUAUUGCCAAAUGUCGUGUAGUUUUCUUGUCGAUCGCAACGUCGAAAUGUAGUUAAAACUUUCAUAUCUAAACUUUCACGUGGUUACAAGCGUGAAUGAAUUGAAACGAACACUAAAUGAGUAGAAAUGUCAGCUUUAGAUUGAAAAUGAUUAGAUAUUGUUUUGAGUCACGGGAUAUCAAUUUCACUUCGAAACUAGUAAAAACAAUGUUUGGAACAUCAUAGAUAAGACAUACGAGUGAACGAUUGUACAUGCUAUGUUUUGUAUACCAUACUUGUUACAUUUUCCUUUAUAGUUAAAUAUAGUGUAGUUUCCAAUAGAAUGUACGAUGUCUCACUAUAGUUUAAACAAAUGUGUUGAUCACAACGUCGAAAUGUAGUAGAAUCUUUUAUCCCUAAACUUUCACAUGGUUAUAGCGUGAAUGAACCGAAAUAAACACUCAAUGAGUAGAAAUGUCAAGCAUACGUUUAAAAUGACCAAAUGCCAUUUUGGGCCACAGUGUAUCAAUUUCACUUCAAAACUAAUAUGUCGUUCUAGGUCUUGAGGUCUCAAUUUCGCUCCAAAACUGUUCGAUCAUAUUUCAUACCAUCUUAGACGACUUAUAUAAGUUAAACAUACUAAUUUGUUGAGUAUCUUAUCUCACAGUUGGAGUAUCAUUGAAUUCAAAUUAAUUACAUACGUUCAUAGUGACAUUUAGCAUAGUUUACUUACGAAAUAAUAUUGUUGGUUACUAUCUCGUUAACUUUUGUAGCGACUUUGGUAUCUAAAUGUAAUGAAAACUUGCAUUCGUUCAUUUUCAUAUGGAUACAAAUGAACAUAAAUUGAAAUGGACACAAAAAUAGUUAAAACGGCACUCAGGAAUUUAAAAUGAUAGCACACCAUUUUGGGUUAUUGAAGUCUCGAUUUCACUUCAAAACCAGUCAUUAAUAUCUCGAAAAAUUUUAUAAGACUUAUACAAAAAAUAAGCUAAAUUAUUCAGUAUCUUGUCUCAUAAUUUGAAUAUAAUCGAAUUUUUAGAUUACCUAACUUAGUUCGUAGUUAAGUCUAGUGUAGUUUACUCAUAAAACAAUAGUGUUCAUCGUUAUCGCAGGAACUUUGUAUUGAUAUUGGUGUCUAAAUGUAAUGAAAAAUGCAUUCGUUCAUUUUCAUGUAAAUAUGGAUGAAAAUAAAAUGAAACGUUGAAAUGAUACCUAAUCAUUUAAAAUGACAGCAAGGCAUUAUGAGAUCUUGAUUUCACUCUAAAUAUUGUUAAAAUGUGUCUAUGUUAAUUUUAAUGUGAAAACGAGAGAGCAAGUAAAACGAAAACAAAAAUUAGUUAAAACGUCAUCGAACGGUUUAUAAUAACAUCAUGCCGUUCGGGUCACGAACCCUUAACUUCACUUCAAAUAUGAUUAAUACUUUUUUAUAUAAUUUUCACGUGGAUAAGAGUGAAUAAAGUAAAAUGAACACGAAAUUAGUUAAAAUGACACUCAAUCAUUUAAAAAGGCGGCAUGCCGUUUUGUUGUUGAUUUUUAAUUGUGUAUGAAAAGUGAGAAUGAAAGUAGGAUCUAUGUUUGGAGAUUUUGGUAAAUUUUGACUUCAAAUUGGGCAUUUUAGACAUUUCACAAUAAGGGUAUUUGAGACUUUAACACAUGAUGAAAUAGAGUAAAUGCUAUUUUUUCGAAACAUUAUUAAGUGUAGGCUAUUUUACCCAGAAACUUUGUUGACUAGGCUCAUUAAGCAAAUCCCCCUUGUUACAUAUCUAUUCACUUUAAAAAUAAAAAAUAAAAAUGGUUGAUCAUGUGCACAAGCCUUAAGCAUAAAUUGAAUGAAGUAAGAAUUUGUUGACCACAUCAUCCGUGCAGAAAUCGAGGUCUAUAAUAUAUUCUUUGUAUCUACCAUCUCUAUCACCGUCUUCUCUAUAUUCACUUGCGUCUAUCAUCUUUGUCAACAUCUUCAUGAUACCUUUCAUCAUUGUGCUGACCUUUUUCGUCAAUAUCUUCACGAUAUCGAUUAUCUCUAUGUCUAUUACCCCUCUCGUCAUCUUCAACAUACUUAUGAACCUUGUUCUGAAUAUCUCUUGCAGUGCCUUCUUUUCUCCUUUGUAUCCUUUCCUAGAGUUCUUUUCCAACUCAGGAUUCUGCACCUCAUCUUGUAAAGCCCACUCUACCAAAAAAAGUAUAAAUAUAGAUUAAGUAAAAAUCAAGUAAUUAAAAAUAUGAUUGAUCGUGCCAGUAGAACUCAGCAAACGAUCUAAGACGGCACCAAAGAUUUUUUCAUAGGCCCGACUUGAACUUUUUAAAAGAAAAAUGAUGGGAUGUUGGAAUUGAAAAAUGAAGUUCAAUUUAAUAAGAUCAAUCUAUUCUAUUCUAGUUUAACUUUUAAAGUUUGAUAGAUUGAUAAAAGUGGUGUAGAUAUAUAGUAUUUAAAUAAAUAAAUUUAAUAAGGAUAAUGUAAAGACAUAAUGUAAAUGAAUAUAAUACUUUUUUAAAAAUUUAAAAUUUUUAAUAAAACUAGAUUUAAAGUAGGAUAGAAAUAUUAGAAUGAUUAACUAAAAUAGGACUCUCAUCAAUAUAAGACUCUGAUUCAUGAACCUAUAUCACCCAAGGGACAGAAGACUACUUGUAAAAAGCUCUGCGUAUAACUAGAUACUGGCGUCACAGGAGGGCAACGUAAUGAUGGCUGUGAAAUUACCAUGGGAUAUCAUCAUCGAAAUACUCUCCAGACUUCCUGUAAAAUCUCUAAUACAUUUUAAAUGUGUUUCAAAUCAUUCCACCCUUUGAUUUCUAAAGAUCCCAACUUCAAAAGGAAACAUAUGAAUCAGUCUGCGAAGUCUGUUCUUUAUCUUGAAUCUCCAGGAAAUCGGGUUUUGUCAAACUCCCUUUCAUCUUUUUACAAUGACGAAGAACCCAUUCAGGACUGGAAGAUUCUUGAUACUCCAAUUAAAGGGUCAGAGAUUCGGACCACUUACGAUUCUUGUGAUGGAUUGUUUGGCAUUUAAGAACGAGGAGGAUAUGUGUGUUGUUUUUGGAGUUUGAAGUUACUCCUUUAAAAAAACAAUCCGACAGAAUCACCUGAAUGUAAGAAAUGAUCAACAGGAUCCAAAAUGUAAUUCAAGCCCACCGACUUCACGAUAUUUUCUUAAAACGAAUUUGUUGCCUUCAAUGGUGCUAAAGACGUCCAGCAAUCGUUUCCUAGGAUAGAACAAAUUUUCGUCUCCUACGGAAGCAGCACUGCAAUCUGCAAGAGUUUCAAAGAACUCAACGAAGUGUGUUUUACUUCGAAACAAUAUCAGAACGAGAGAGAGGGGAAUAAGAUUCAAAGCACAUAUAGUUUGCAAUGAAAAUGGUGUGAAUUUUCUGGUAGAGAGGCAGUCUAUUUAUAGACUUCUUCAUAGCCAUUCCAACAGUCGUCACCUUUCAGACAAAUCUCAAAAACUCGGAACAGACAUGUUUUCUAAAAGUUGCGUCUGUUAAGUCGGUUAACAGUCGGCUAACAGUUGACUGUUUGGUCGGUUAACAAACGACUGUUAAACAAUCUAUUCAGAUAAAAAAAUCACCCAGAAUAAGCCAAAAAUUUAAAUUUCAUAAUGUACCUAAGAAUUUGAUUAUUUAUAAUUUGGUCCAAAAAGUUAAUAUAGUGCAAAGGUCCAUCUGCACCCGAACCGGACUCGGACACGGAAACGUGCUCGUGCUGAGCCGGCCGAUCGGAUGGACGGCGGCGCACACGUGUGAGUUUAUGACCGAACCCAAUAGGAUAUAGGUCUUCCCCUUCCAAAGACUAUUGGUACCCCUUGGGGUCCAAACCCAAUUCUAAACUUCCACCUUAUAAACCACACCAAAAAUUCCUAACUUUCCUAUGUGGGAUAAGUGUUUGGAAAAACAAAUUCUUCCAUAAUACUUAGUUUUAUAUGGGUUGCUUUAACACUUAAUAUUUCAUUCAAUUUUAAAUGGUUUUAAACAAAUAAAUAUAUCACGUUAAUCAUCUCGCGGAGUAGAACGUGAAUAUUCUAGGUCCAGAUAGAACGUGAAUAUACUAGGUCCUGUAUUAAUUAAAAGGUGGGUCCUACUGAAAUUUGAGCUCAAAGUUGACUCAUUUCAUAAUCAUUUUUCCAACAAUCCCCCACAUGAAUGAAAUAUAUUGGCAAUGUCCAAACGAUAACAUCUGAUAUGUUUUUCAAAGUAAAAAUUGAAGAAGACUGCAUCGGGAUAAGUAGUCAAUGACUUUGAACUUUUCCUAGUAAAAUCUAUCGAAUUUCCUUAGCCAAUUAGUAGCAAGUUGCUUUGAACAGUCAGCCGUUUAUGGAAACCUAAACAAUAGAAGUUACACAGUUUUCUUCGAACAUAGUUGGUUCUUACGUUUGUGUCCAUUUUGGCUUUGGACACCUCUUGGUUCAUGAGUGAUUUUUAGAGAAUUCAUCUUCACCUAAUUCUCUUAGAAGCGGCCCCUUCUCACUCACAUAGGUAAUUUUCAUAAAGAGUAUUCUGCUAUACUCCACUUGAACGAAUCAAGCUAUAGAAAUAAUUAAAAGCGUAUCUUAACUUAUUUCGCGGCAGCUAGGCACUGGCUCAUCAUAGGAAUGGAUAGGAGUAAAAUCUUCCCAGUGCAUACUAAGUUUUUCACAGUGCGAUUGUCUCAUUGAACCUCGAUCUUGAGAUCUCCAAUCAACUAGGUUGGGUUGUCACCAUGGAAACUUUGAUUAUUUUAUUAGUUUUAAUCUCAUCCCUUUCGAUAAACUUUCUACUUGCUCUCAUGUUAAACUUUUAGUUAGCGAAUCUGCAAUAUUCUCUUCUGAUUUCACAUACUCCAUAGAGAUAAUGCCAGUAGAGAGCAAUUGUCUAACAAUAUUGUGUCUACGACGUAUAAGUCGAGAUUUACUGUUAUACAUUACAUUUUGUGCCCUACCAAUUGUUGAUUGACUAUCGCAAUGAAUACAUAUAGCAGGCACAGAUUUUGUUCAACAUGGAAUAUCUUCUAGAAAGUUUCGUAGCCAUUCGACUUCUUCUCUAGCUUUGUCUGAUGCAUUGAAGUUAGAUUUCAUUGUUGAUCUAGCUAUACAUUUCUGUUUUGAAGAUUUUCAUGAUAUGGCAACACCUCCAAGUGUAAAGACAUAUCAACUUGUUGAUUUGAUGUCUUUAGUAUCUGAUAUCCAAUUUGCAUUACAGUAUCCUUCAAGUACUGCUGGAGAUCUCGAAUAGUGCAAUCCAAAAUUUUGGGUAUGUGGGUUUAUGACCGAACCCAAUAGGAUAUAUGUCUUUCCUCUUUCAAAAACUAUUGGUACCCCUUGGGGCCCAAACCCAAUUCCAAACUUCCACCUUAUAAAUCACACCAAAACUUCCUAAUUUUCCUAUGUGGGAUAAGUAUUUGGAAAAACAAAUUCUUUCAUAAUACUUCGUUUUAUAUGGAUUAAUUUAACACUUAAUAUUUCAUUCAAUUUUAAAUGGUUUUCGACAAAUAAAUAUAUCACGUUAAUCAUCUCGCGGAGUAGAACGUGAAUAUGCUAGGUCCCGUAUUAAUUAAAAGAUGGGUCCUACUGAAAUUUGGGCUCAAAGUUGACCCAUUUCAUAACCAUUUUUCCAACAAUGUGUUCAUAUGGAACCCUUCUACCAGAGAAUCGAAAACACUUCCAGAUUGUCCUAUUGAUAUCAAAAUUCUUCCUCGUAUCAUCUAACGUGGAUUCAAAUAUGCGUUAGCUUAUGACUCAAUCUCACAUGACUAUAAAGUAUUCAGUAUUUUCUUAUUUCUUGAUAUUGGAAAGGUCUUAAGGACUGAGAUAAAAUCCUAUUCGCUGAAGAGUGAUUCCUUGUGGAGAAAAGUUGAGAAUUUCCCAUGUGAAGAUCUCUGGAAUAGGGAAAAUUUUAACUUAUUGAACGGAGCAUUCCACUGGAUUACUCCACAAAGGCAAAGGUAACAUUGAACUCCCACCUCUUCUGCUUGUUUCACUUGAAAUAGGAACUGAAACAUAUAGAAAGUUAUCACUACCAUGGAUUGGGUAUUAUACUCAAAGUUUUCCGCAAUUAUGUGUAUUGAAGGGAAAGCUUUGCUUGUACAGCCUUUCUUCAGUAAAUCGUUUGAUUUAUGGGUGAUUGAAGAAUACGGUGUUAUGGAAUCUCUGACAAAAAUGUUUACUAUUCCUUUCUAUGAGGAUCGCGGGGGGGGGGGGAGGUACAAAACAAAAAAACAAAAAUUUGAUGGUCUUUCUGUCAGCGUUUAAUGUUUAAGAAUUCGCUUUCAAUUUAUUUAUUUAUAUUUUUUUCUGUCAGUUUAUUGACAUUCUGUAUAUAAGUACUUAAGUUUGGUUUAAGAUGGUUUGAUUAAAAGUUUGUGAGGCUCUGUAUGGCAAUGAUAAAUGUUUAAGAACACUGUUUUGUUUUGACUCUUGGAAAGAAUUCUAUAAACUUUACUGUGUAUAUACUACUUUUCCCAAGUGAUUAUAAUGCAGUAAACACGGGAGUCCUAUGAUGAAUUCAGGCUGUUUAAUGGAAGUAUUUUGCUGUCGUCGUUUACCAUGACAUCCGGUAUAUGUCCGGUAAGUGGAAAGGCGGUCGAGCUGACCUGCCUUUUCUGUCGGGUCAGAUCAAGCCAAGUGCAAAGCUUGGCAUGGUCUACCCUAAAUAGUCUUUGAUAAAAUGGAUUGAAAUCUUGGAAGUCACUUCCAACGAAAACAGCUGAUAUAAAUUUCAACUCAGUAACAUGGAGUUUGCUUGGGAUUGCAUGUUGUAAGGAACAUAAAUCCAGCAGCAUUCACAAAUGCUUAAAGUAUAAAACUACCUGGGAAAUCUUAUUAAAUGUUUAAACAUUAUAAAGAACGGAACCUAAAGACUGAUGUCAACAUUAUCAAUCUCAACAACCCUUUUUCAUUGCUCAUUUUUCAGCUAUAAGUAUUCAACAUUUCAACUUCCCUUCUUUGUUAAUUAAUUUCAAUCUCAUUCUCAUCCACAAGAUAAUUUUUAUAGUAGGCAAACUAAGAAGCAAAUUCUGUCAGUUUUUUCGUCAUUGAUAUCUCAUAAUACACGAAUAGUUUCAUUAGUCGUGGCUCGACAAGGCAAUGGUUGAACUUUUUGUUCACAAAACAAGCAAUUGACGGGGUGAGAUGUGUGACAGGAGUCAUCACCUUAUUGAGUAUGUGCAUGCAUCUCUAUCGCAUCCUGCUGAGCACUUCUUGACAACAGAAAUCAGAAAGUAUGUCAGGAUCAAACCUAAUAGACUCAAAAAACAGAAUUUCAUGGGAGCUAAUCAUACUUUCGCUAGCAUUAGAUGUGCAUGGUUUUCGAUGAAAAAAUAGCUUGAAGAGUAGGUGAAAUACGAGAACUUCACUUGAUUAGCAAGAAACACAAUGAGAAAGGGACUAUUCAAGUCAGCAGAUUGCUUCAAUCUUGAAGAUCAUGAAUGGCUUAGAUGGAUUGGGUUGGAUUGCAUCAUAGAUACUGGUACAUUUGCUGCAAGAAUGAGUGAAUCCAAUGUCAAUAAAGUUUCUGCUUUCAUAAAUCUUGGAGGACCCAUUUACCAAAUUUAACACCAUAGGCCGAUAGUAGCCAUUUUCCUCAAUGAAGCAGCAGUAAUUCUCUUCUUAAUCUUCACUCAAAGUCAAAUUUAAAGACCCCGUUGUAAGAAUGAACAAAGUUACAGUCACGAAAUUACUCGAUCUCAUCAAGGCAACCAUUCCAACAUGUCCCUUACAAGAUGCUUCUGUCAUAAUUCCUAACAAUUACCAGAACACAACAGCUCUUUUUCAUAAUGGAACAGUAAUAAGAAGCCCCCGGUGCCCGCCCAGUAAGGAGAUUGCGUGAUGCACAAUGCGCAUGCUCAUAAUAGAUGAUAACGUUACUGAUACGAUACUGUGAUACGUUAGUUUGGCUGCUGAUAUAAAUUCUGUUUUGAUUCCUAUCGAGAGUAAGAGUUUGGAGAGAGUUAAGAUAAUGAAGAUUAUUAAACAUCUAUUUGAGCCUCAUUUUUUUUUUUUUUUUAAAUUCGUUUGUUAAUUACACAUUUUUUUACUAAAAUAAUAUUACAUGCAAAUCCAAAAGUCAAGCUUUAGAAGGUUGAAUUUAAAUCACAAAUAUUUUGUGGAUACAUCUCCCAAUGACCCAUCGGCGUGCAUGUAGUCGACUCUAGUUUCUUUUACAAGUUAGUAGAUAAAGUAAUUUGUCGAAGAUAGUGAUAAGAGAUGAUUCAUACAGUCGAUCUUAAAUUUAUGCAUUUGAUGGUGUUGUGAGAGGAUUCAUAAUUAUAUAGCUUCCUUCAAUUGUCAUAAUUGUACAUACAAGUUCUUUUAUCAUUUUUCAGCACUUGUUUCUUCCUGGAAAGUUGUUAUUUUUGUGUGUGAACUUGAAAGUUACUUUUUGUAAGAUUAAGGGUUCAUUUGAUAGAAUUUCUGCUUCUAGUUUUACUUCUUAUAGAAGAGCUUCCUCAAUAAGUUACCUUUCUUCAUUUUUUUCAAAAAACUCUUAUAAUCUGAGAAAAAGCUUUUAGAAAAUUAUCCAAUCAAGUUAAAAAACAACUUCUUUGUCUCAUAAUCAGCUUUUGGAUUUUUAACAAUUUUAUCGAACGGGGUCCUAAAAUAAGUUUUUUGAAUAGAAAACUUAACUUUUAAAAUCAUGUUUAACCCAAAAAGGUAUUUUGAAAGUUUAAGCACAAUUGAAAAUUACUAUGAAUUUUGUUCUCUAAUUAACAACAAUAAUAUUUCACAUUUAUUUUUCGUGAAAUUAAACUUUAAACUCUCGAAGUCAAGAGGGUUCUGGGUUAAUUGAAAUAUAUCCAUAUAUACAAUUUUGGUGCGCAUAAAAACACUAGAUAGCAUUAGUACAAAGUUGAAGUUUUAUCUCUCAUAGCGUCUAUGCUGAGUACCGAAACAAAUCACUAUAGGCAUUCUUUAUAAAUUAGACCAGAUGAGAUGAGAUGAAAUAUGUCUUUAUAAAUUAGACCAUAUGAGAUGAGAUGAGAUGAGAUAGCAUUAGACUUUUGUUUGGUUCCCAUUAUUUUUAAAAUAUAUUUUUCUCUGACUUAUUUUCAACUACAUAAUAUUCAAUGAAAUAAUAUUACAUAUUCAAAACUUUUUCUUAUUUUUAAAUUACACACUUUCUUUUACCAAAUCACUAUUCCAAGAUGCAAAAAAAUGGGGCAAAAAAAAAAAAAUUGUAUAUUAUCUAAUUCCCUUAUGAGAAAAUUACCCAAAAUCGUAAAUUUAAAUAUACAAUUCAAAAAUAAGUGGGAUUAAUUUUAAAUUGAUAAAUCAAAUGCUGAUUAAGAAUUAUUAAUUUAAUUAAGAAAAAUUUAUUAUACCCCACCCACCCCACUACCUUAACAACUCAGUUCAUUUCUCGCCUCUUCUUUCUCUCUACUAUGAGAUAGUGAUGAUGUUGUACUGGCACAAUUCGCAUUUGCGAGAUCCAUUACUCCCUCAAAAGUGGUAAUAGGUUCACUCUCUUCCAGUGGUAGAUGCAACCUUGAAUUUGGACACGGGGUACAAUAAAAAUAUAUGUGGAUUUAUCUUUUAAAAAAAUAAAAAAAACUAAGAAUAAAGUGGAAUUGUAGGGGCGAAGAUGGGCUAUAGUCCGGUCGAGCCCGUGCUUGCGUAUCUCUUUCUUUAUGUAUAUGCUUGUUUAUGCUCCAUUUGAGCCCCUUUUUUUGAAAAGGUCGAUUUUGAAAUUGAAAAGUUUAUUGGAGAAUAUAUGGUCAAAAGGUAAAUAAUAAUUAUAAUAAAUUGAAUAUAUGUUUGCAAUUAUAUUAUUGAAAAAUAUGUGAUUGAAAAUAAAUUUGAAAAAAAAAAUAUUUUCAAAGAAUGGACUCAAAAAGGGCCUUAAUAUUCUUGAUUAAAGAAGGAAAAAGAGUUUAAAUUUUUAGUAUACAUGAGCUUCUGAAUGCGACAAGGUUAAGGAAGAAAACAAAGUUAAAAUUUUGUUCUUUUAUCUCGAAGAUCUUCGUGAAUUAUGUAUAAUGGAUAAAGAUACUUGUCCAUAUGUUAAUUUUUUGUUUUUUGAAAGUUUUCUGUCUCAUUUACGUGGCAGGCAGAAACUAAAUAGCUAGAACUGCAUGCUGUCUAGGAUGAGAAAACUAUAUAUAAAUUUGAUGAAAAAAGUAACUUUCUUAAAAGUUAGGGAUAGUGGACAACAAUUCUAUGUCUCAAUUGUUUGAAUUUUGGUUAUAACAAUUUGUGAGUUCCAAAUAUUUAAGAUGCAAUUGUUAUUAUUUUUAUUAUUAUUUUGCACCAAACAUGCUAGUACAAGUUAUUUUCCUAAAAAGCAAGUCA
rnacentral:lncRNA from 1 species